AUGAACGCUAGCUACAGGCUUAACACAUGCAAGUCGAGGGGCAGCAUGGUCUUAGCUUGCUAAGGCCGAUGGCGACCGGCGCACGGGUGAGUAACACGUAUCCAACCUGCCGUCUACUCUUGGACAGCCUUCUGAAAGGAAGAUUAAUACAAGAUGGCAUCAUGAGUCCGCAUGUUCACAUGAUUAAAGGUAUUCCGGUAGACGAUGGGGAUGCGUUCCAUUAGAUAGUAGGCGGGGUAACGGCCCACCUAGUCUUCGAUGGAUAGGGGUUCUGAGAGGAAGGUCCCCCACAUUGGAACUGAGACACGGUCCAAACUCCUACGGGAGGCAGCAGUGAGGAAUAUUGGUCAAUGGGCGAGAGCCUGAACCAGCCAAGUAGCGUGAAGGAUGACUGCCCUAUGGGUUGUAAACUUCUUUUAUAAAGGAAUAAAGUCGGGUAUGGAUACCCGUUUGCAUGUACUUUAUGAAUAAGGAUCGGCUAACUCCGUGCCAGCAGCCGCGGUAAUACGGAGGAUUCGAGCGUUAUCCGGAUUUAUUGGGUUUAAAGGGAGCGUAGAUGGAUGUUUAAGUCAGUUGUGAAAGUUUGCGGCUCAACCGUAAAAUUGCAGUUGAUACUGGAUAUCUUGAGUGCAGUUGAGGCAGGCGGAAUUCGUGGUGUAGCGGUGAAAUGCUUAGAUAUCACGAAGAACUCCGAUUGCGAAGGCAGCCUGCUAAGCUGCAACUGACAUUGAGGCUCGAAAGUGUGGGUAUCAAACGGGAUUAGAUACCCUGGUAGUCCACACGGUAAACGAUGAAUACUCGCUGUUUGCGAUAUACGGCAAGCGGCCAAGCGAAAGCGUUAAGUAUUCCACCUGGGGAGUACGCCGGCAACGGUGAAACUCAAAGGAAUUGACGGGGGCCCGCACAAGCGGAGGAACAUGUGGUUUAAUUCGAUGAUACGCGAGGAACCUUACCCGGGCUUAAAUUGCAGAUGAAUUACGGUGAAAGCCGUAAGCCGCAAGGCAUCUGUGAAGGUGCUGCAUGGUUGUCGUCAGCUCGUGCCGUGAGGUGUCGGCUUAAGUGCCAUAACGAGCGCAACCCUUGUUGUCAGUUACUAACAGGUUCCGCUGAGGACUCUGACAAGACUGCCAUCGUAAGAUGUGAGGAAGGUGGGGAUGACGUCAAAUCAGCACGGCCCUUACGUCCGGGGCUACACACGUGUUACAAUGGGGGGUACAGAGGGCCGCUACCACGCGAGUGGAUGCCAAUCCCCAAAACCUCUCUCAGUUCGGACUGGAGUCUGCAACCCGACUCCACGAAGCUGGAUUCGCUAGUAAUCGCGCAUCAGCCACGGCGCGGUGAAUACGUUCCCGGGCCUUGUACACACCGCCCGUCAAGCCAUGGGAGCCGGGGGUACCUGAAGUGCGUAACCGCGAGGAGCGCCCUAGGGUAAAACUGGUGACUGGGGCU
rnacentral:rRNA from 1 species